rnacentral:rRNA from 1 species
GACGAACGCUGGCGGCGUGCCUAAUACAUGCAAGUCGAACGAGUGGCGGACGGGUGAGUAACACGUGGGUAACCUACCCACAGAGGGGGAUAAGCCUUGGAAACGGGGUCUAAUACCGAAUAAAGGGGGAUGGGCUCGCGGCCGAUCAGCUUGUUGGUGGGGUGAUGGCCUACCAAGGCGGUGACGGGUAGCCGGCGUGAGAGGGUGCCCGGCCGCAUGGGGACUGGGAUACGGCCCAGACGCCUACGGGAGGCAGCAGUGGGGUAUAUUGCACAAUGGGCGAAAGCCUGAUGCAGCGACGACGCGUGGGGGAUGAAGGCUUUCGGGUUGUAAACCUCUUUCGCUAGCGAACGGGUAGGUGGAGAAGAAGCGCCGGCUAACUACGUGCCAGCAGCCGCGGUAAUUC